rnacentral:piRNA from 1 species
UUCCCACUUAUGUCGAAAACCAUGCA